CCCAAGGAGCUGCCCGACCCCUUCAACGACCUCUCUGUAGGGGGCUGGGAGAUCACGGAGGAGCCCGUGGGCCGCCUGUCAGUGUGGGCUGUGUCUCUGCAGGGCAAGGUGUGGUACAGAGAGGACGUCAGCCACUCCAACCCCGAAGGGUCCUCCUGGUCCCUGCUGGACACCCCCGGGGAGGUGGUUCAGAUCAGCUGUGGGCCCCACGACCUCCUGUGGGCCACACUCUGGGAGGGGCAGGCCCUGGUCCGGGAAGGAAUCAACAGGAGCAAUCCCAAAGGAAGUUCCUGGUCCAUCGUGGAGCCUCCUGGAUCUGACAAUGGGAUCAUGCACGUCUCGGUGGGAGUCAGUGUGGUCUGGGCUGUCACCAAGGACUGGAAGGUGUGGUUCCGAAGAGGCAUCAACUCUCACAAUCCCUGUGGCACCAGCUGGAUUGAGAUGGUUGGUGAGAUGACGAUGGUGAACGUGGGAAUGAACGACCAGGUGUG
rnacentral:sRNA from 1 species